rnacentral:rRNA from 1 species
UACGGGGGGGGCAAGCGUUGUUCGGAAUUACUGGGCGUAAAGAGCGUGUAGGCGGCCCGAUAAGUCCGCUGUGAAAGUCCAGGGCUCAACCCUGGAAUGCCAGUGGAAACUGUCGGGCUGGAGUCCGGAAGAGGCGAGUGGAAUUCCUGGUGUAGCGGUGAAAUGCGCAGAUAUCAGGAGGAACACCAAUGGCGAAGGCAGCUCGCUGGGACGGUACUGACGCUGAGACGCGAAAGCGUGGGGAGCAAACAGG